ACGAACGCUGGCGGCGUGCUUAACCCAUGCAAGUCGAACGGAAAGGCCCUGCUUUUGUGAGGUGCUCGAGUGGCGAACGGGUGAGUAACACGUGAGUAACCUGCCCUUGACUUUGGGAUAACUUCAGGAAACUGGGGCUAAUACCGGAUAGGAGCUCCUGCUGCAUGGUGGGGGUUGGAAAGUUUCGGCGGUUGGGGAUGGACUCGCGGCUUAUCAGCUUGUUGGUGGGGUAGUGGCUUACCAAGGCUUUGACGGGUAGCCGGCCUGAGAGGGUGACCGGCCACAUUGGGACUGAGAUACGGCCCAGACUCCUACGGGAGGCAGCAGUGGGGAAUAUUGCACAAUGGGCGGAAGCCUGAUGCAGCAACGCCGCGUGCGGGAUGACGGCCUUCGGGUUGUAAACCGCUUUCGCCUGUGACGAAGCGUGAGUGACGGUAAUGGGUAAAGAAGCACCGGCUAACUACGUG
rnacentral:rRNA from 1 species